GAUCAAAACGGUACGGAGUCUCGGGGUGAGCGGUCGUGAAACGCUCGGACGCGAUAAAAAGUAACACAAAUAUAUACAUACGCACACACACACAUAUUGAUACAUCCACCGGAGGUGUUGAAUACAUAUAGUUUUACUCCCCGUGCUUAUAUUUGUCGUUUGGUUGACUACUUGCAGAGAUCGCGCGAAAGAAAGUGUUCCGGACAGAGAGAUGUCUUGUGUGAUUUGACAGUGAAGAAAAACGAGUGAAACAUUCGAGAAAAUAUUAAUAUUGAUAUUGGUAGGCAUUUAUACGAAACGCCUCGUUGAAAGUGCAUCUUCAUCUCGGACAAAAAGUGUGCGUGGGAUAAACGAAAUCGAGUGAUUGAGAUAACAGAAAGAGUAACGGGGGACUUUCGAAGGGUACGUUGUGCUCCCCGAGUGUGGGGCGGUGGGACCCAAUCGGGGGUCGGUAGUGACGGAAAAAUAAGGUCGAAAAGACGAGGAGGAUGACGGGCGUCGAGGAUGGCAAAGGCGGGGGCGGUGGCGGCGGCGGUACCGACGUUAGCGCCACCGACAACGUCAACCACCAGAACGGCGGACCGGAAAAAGCUCCCGUUGUCACCGGAACCAACAUGGAGACGCUUCCGCGUCCCGGCAAACAGAGUGACCCGAGCACCGCUUUCCUCAGAGCUGCUAGAGCAGGACAGUUGGAAAAAGUUUUGGAGUACCUUGAAUCCGGGGUUGAUAUAAAUGCUUCAAACGCUAAUGGUUUGAACGCUUUACAUCUUGCGGCCAAGGACGGUCAUUUGGAAAUUGUGAGAGAACUGUUGACACGCGGAGCUAUCGUUGAUGCUGCCACAAAAAAAGGAAACACAGCUUUACACAUUGCCUCUCUUGCUGGACAAGAAGAGGUUGUGCAGUUACUGGUACAAAGAGGAGCAUCGGUAAAUGCACAGUCACAAAAUGGGUUCACUCCUUUGUACAUGGCAGCCCAGGAAAAUCACGAUUCGGUCGUUAAAUUCUUGCUCAGCAAAGGCGCCAAUCAGACCCUCGCUACUGAGGAUGGCUUCACUCCGCUGGCAGUUGCGAUGCAACAAGGCCACGACAAGGUCGUUGCCGUUCUUCUCGAAAACGACACGCGCGGCAAAGUACGACUUCCGGCGCUCCACAUCGCCGCCAAAAAAGACGACUGCAAAGCUGCCGCUUUGCUUUUACAGAACGACCAUAAUCCCGACGUAACAUCGAAGAGUGGAUUCACUCCGCUGCAUAUUGCAGCUCAUUAUGGCAACGAUCGAAUAGCUUCCUUGCUCUACGACAAAGGGGCGGACGUCAAUUUCGCUGCAAAGCACAACAUCACACCUAUGCACGUCGCAGCCAAGUGGGGAAAAAUCAAAAUGGUGAAUCUUUUAAUGAGCAAGGGCGCUAAUAUUGCAGCGAAAACGAGAGACGGACUAACCCCGCUUCACUGUGCAGCGAGGGCAGGUCAUCACGAGGUUGUCGACAUACUCAUCGAAAAGGGAGCCCCCAUUGGUUCAAAAACCAAAAAUGGUCUCGCACCUUUGCAUAUGGCCUCGCAAGGAGAUCACGUCGAUGCAGCGAGAAUCCUGCUCUACCACCGUGCCCCGGUUGACGAAGUAACGGUCGAUUAUUUGACCGCUCUCCAUGUUGCCGCUCACUGUGGACACGUUCGAGUAGCUAAACUUCUGCUCGACCGAUCUGCCGAUCCUAAUGCCAGAGCCCUCAAUGGCUUUACGCCUCUUCACAUUGCCUGCAAAAAAAAUAGAAUCAAAGUUGUCGAGUUGCUGCUUAAGCACAAAGCGAGCAUCGAGGCUACGACCGAGUCCGGAUUGACGCCUCUACACGUUGCAAGCUUUAUGGGAUGCAUGAACAUCGUUAUUUAUUUAUUGCAAAACGAAGCAAGCCCUGAUAUACCGACCGUACGAGGGGAGACGCCACUUCAUCUCGCUGCCAGAGCCAAUCAGACAGAUAUCAUAAGGAUACUCUUGAGGAAUGGUGCGCAGGUCGAUGCUAGAGCUAGAGAAGAGCAGACGCCACUUCACGUCGCCUCGCGUCUGGGUAAUGUCGAUAUUGUGAUGCUAUUACGCCAACACGGUGCGGACGUCGAUGCCACAACGAAAGAUUUAUACACUCCGCUCCACAUUGCAGCUAAGGAAGGCCAAGAAGAGGUCGCAUCCGUUUUAUUAGAAAACGGCGCUUCGCUUACCGCUACAACUAAAAAGGGCUUCACGCCUCUCCAUCUCGCAGCUAAAUACGGCAACAUGAACGUCGCGAGGCUUUUACUCCAGAAAAACGCCCCGGUCGACGCCCAAGGAAAGAAUGGCGUCACGCCCCUCCACGUAGCAUCCCACUACGAUCAUCAAAACGUUGCUCUGCUUUUGCUCGACAAGGGCGCAUCGCCCCACGCUAUGGCCAAAAAUGGUCAUACGCCCCUUCACAUUGCCGCCCGCAAAAAUCAGAUGGACAUUGCUACGACUUUGCUCGAGUAUGGGGCAAAAGCUAACGCUGAGUCGAAGGCCGGCUUCACUCCGCUUCAUCUCAGUUCACAGGAAGGUCACACCGACAUGUCGACUUUACUGAUCGAGCACAAAGCCGACACUAAUCACAAGGCUAAGAAUGGACUGACGCCGCUACAUUUGUGCGCACAAGAAGACAAGUUCAACGUCGCGGCCAUACUCGUCAAAAAUGGGGCCCAAGUUGAUGCUAAAACGAAGGCGGGCUAUACACCUUUACACGUCGCGUCACACUUCGGUCAAGUCGCCAUGGUCCGUUUCCUUCUCCGAGCCGGUGCUGUCGUUGACAGUAGCACCGGUGCCGGUUACACUCCGCUUCAUCAAGCUGCUCAACAGGGUCACACUCUCGUCAUUAAUUUGCUUCUUGAAAGCAAAGCGGAUCCCAAUGCGGUCACCAACAACGGACAAACGGCGUUCGCGAUCGCACAAAAAUUGGGCUACAUCAGUGUCGUCGAGACUCUCAAGGUAGUUACCGAAACGAUAAUCACGACAACGCAUACAGUGACGAUCGAGGAGAAGUAUCGAGUUCAGGCCCCAGAAUCAAUGCAAGAAACCUUCAUGAGUGACAGCGAAGAUGAGGGUGGUGGUGAUGAGAUCGGCAUGGCGACCAUGAAUGUCUAUGGACAACCGCCACACGCGCAACACGUGUACCUCCCUUCCUACUACCAGGGCCAAAUGACCUACACUCGCGAAGAUCCGAUGCUCAGCGACCAACAGCAAUAUCGUUACAUGACUGUUGAUGACAUGAAGUCUAUGGGAGAUGAUUCUAUGAGAGUCAACGUCACUGACGACGAAAGAGACAAUCGACAUUCUGCGACUACCGUUACCGAAAUGAUUACGAAGGAGAAUUAUCAUCGCACGAGCGCGGCCAAUACGAAGCCGGACAACGUCGACAUAAACAGGCAUCCUGUGCACGUCGGAGCGUCAAUAGAGUCCUUAAAUUCGUCGCUGGCUGCCCUUGGUAUCGUAUCAAAAGGACAAGGAAUGUGGAGGGACAGCUUUUUGGUUUCGUUCCUGGUCGAUGCCCGUGGAGGAGCCAUGCGUGGUUGUCGACACAGCGGCGUUCGCGUGAUUGUUCCACCGAGAAAAGCUGCGAUGCCAAUGCGAGUCACGUGCCGAUAUCUCAAGAGGGAUAAAUUGACAAAUCCUCCACCUCUGAUGGAGGGCGAAGCAUUAGCGAGUAGGAUCCUCGAACUUGGACCAGUUGGAGCCAAAUUCUUGGGACCAGUUAUUAUCGAGGUACCACAUUUUGCCUCAUUGCGAGGAAAGGAGAGAGAAAUCGUUAUUCUACGGUCGGACAACGGAGAAACUUGGCGCGAGCACACUUUGGAAGCCAGCGAGGAGGCUGUCCAAGAUGUGCUAAACGAGAGCUUUGAAGGAGAAGAAUUAAGCCAGCUCGAGGAUCUCCAGACUUCACGAAUCGUCAGAGUUCUUACAGUCGAUUUCCCUCAUUAUUUCGCGGUGGUUUCGCGGAUAAGGCAAGAAGUUCACGCAGUCGGUCCAGAGGGUGGAACAGUUUCCUCAUCGGCCGUGCCACAAGUUCAGGCAGUUUUUCCACCAGCUGCACUUACGAAAAAAAUCAGAGUUGGCUUGCAGGCGCAUCCGAUACCGGCCGAGCUCGUGGCUAAGCUUUUGGGCAAUCGUGUCGCAGUUUCUCCGAUCGUCACGGUCGAACCAAGACGAAGAAAGUUUCACAAGCCUAUCACACUUACAAUACCAGUACCACAGGCGGCGAACAAAGGGAUGAUAAAUCAAUAUUCCGGAGAUGCACCGACCCUCAGGCUCCUUUGCAGUAUAACUGGUCGUUCAGGGGGUCAGUCUCGGGCGGUCUGGGAGGACGUGACCGGGUCAACACCAUUGACAUUCGUCAAAGAUUGCGUCUCAUUUACCACCACCGUUUCCGCACGUUUUUGGCUUAUGGACUGUCGAAACAUUACCGAGGCAACGAGAAUGGCUACCGAACUUUACACCCAUGCUACACAUGUACCGUUUAUGGCUAAGUUCGUCGUAUUCGCAAAACGUGUCGAUCCCCUGGAAGCAAGACUCCGUGUUUUCUGUAUGACCGACGACAAAGAGGACAAAACUCUGGAACAUCAGGAACACUUUACGGAGGUCGCCAAGAGUCGAGACGUCGAGGUCCUGGAGGGUAAGACUCAGUACAUGGAAUUCGCUGGAAAUCUAGUGCCCGUGAUGAAGAGCGGUGAACAAUUGCAAUUGCCAUUCCGAGCGUUCAAAGAAAAUCGUGUACCGUUCACCGCAAGAGUCAAAGAUCCCGACGCGGCUGAUAUGGUCGGACGAAUAAUGUUUAUGAGUGAACCUAAAGUUGCUAAAGGCGAACCACCACAAACACCAAUAUGCACCCUGAAUAUAUUAUUGCCUGAAAAAAUUUCACCCGAAGCCGCCCAUUCGGAGCUCGAUCUUUUGGAAUUGUCGAAAAAUUACAGCUUUUUGAGGGACGGAGGCAUAAGCAGGCCUGAUACCAUACACAGAGCAACCAUUCGUUUGACUGAUAUUGCGAAUUUGUUGGAUCGCGAUUGGGAAAAAUUGGCGGAAGAAUUAAAUAUAUCGCCGAACGAAGUGGACACGAUAAAGAGUGAACAUCCUGGAAAGCCUGCGCUUCAAGCGGCGUCAAUGUUGAAGCUGUGGCAGGGCAACGGCAACAAAGCAACAGGAAACACACUUGAAAAAGCACUCAACAAAAUAGGCCGUGAAGAUAUCGUCAAAACUUGUAUAUUCAAUGUUGAACUCGUUACCGACGAUGUCGAAAAAGCCGUCGCGAGAGUAAGACUCGAUCAAAAAGGAUUUGAUUCGUUGAAAGAGGAACUGGGGCCCUCGAGAGAUUCUUCUCUCAGACGCGACGGUACUUUGGACCCGAAAUUGGAUCCAGACUACGAGGAACCUGAUCGAAUGAGGGAUUCCGAGUCCGUUGAAGAUCUCAGCAUGGGCAACGUGACGCGCAAACCGACUAAACAGCAUGUCACUAUCACGAACGGCACUGUAUUCAACGGUACCUCGACCCCCAUAAAAGACAAAUACGCCAGUGAAGAAAAAGAAUUUUGCGACGAUAUGGCCGACUAUGUUGCCCACAAGUGUCACGUAUCGGAUACUAUGACGAAAAAGUCGGUCGACGUACCUGACGACGACGAUAAUAAACGUCAGAGGGUUUACGAGGACGCCAACAGACUAGUAACCGGUGUUAUACAAGACGCAGAAAAUGAGAAGGAGAAGUUAGCGAAGGAAGGGUGGUCGGGGGUUUAUCAUGAUGAUGCGCGAUCGAGUAAUGAGGCAGGAGGUGCUGUAGGCCAGCGUUUAGGUCGUCUCGAUGAUAUUAAUAUUGCAGAUGAGCCUGACUUCGCUCGAGCCACGAGUGCUAGAAAGAUCGGCGAUUUUGAACGUUCGAUUACAAAAGAAAGUAGGCAAAUAGGGGGUAAAGAUGAAUCUAAGGGUACGGUAGUCUCGACGAGAACAAUUGUUACUACUCAAGGUGAUCCGGAGUCUGGGCAAUCCGUUAUUACGAGGACAACUACCGUUCGUGAGUACGAACGCCCGGUCGUAACUGAAAUAACGAGUGAAUCUGUACCGAUACGGAAAACGCAUUAUUUCGGUGACAGCGAUCCGGUUAUCGGUUUGACUCAGGCUGAUCCGAUCGACGGUAAAAUAACUGUUUCUACCGGUCCCACAACCACCGAGCGCGUUAUCACGAAAACUGUCGUUACGAAAGGUCCGAAGAGCGACGAGAGGAUCGUCACAGUAGUGGACAGUCGCUCGAAAGAGUCUCCAAGCGUUGUCGAAACGAUUGCCGGUGAUGAUCGAGCCAAGUUGCACGGGCAAACGGUUUCGUUUGACACAAACGUUACAACCGAUCAAGCCACAGAAAACGCGGCCAAAAGCAUCGCCAAAGUCUUUCCAGACUGCGCUACGAUGCUGGCCGAAACGGGCGGCAAGAGCCUCGAGAGCGAGAAGGAAAAAUUGUCCAGAGAGGACAAAGAAGUCGCUGAAAAACCACCAACAGGACAAAUUGACCCGUCGGCCAAGUCCAAGGAUGUCAAAGGCAUUCUGAAAACUGAUCCUAGAAAAAACCUAGAGAAAGAUCAGCCAGCCGAUGAUGGCAAACAAUCCGCUUACGAAGUCGUGUACAAUGCUGCACAACAAUCGGCAGCCGAUGGCAAGGACAAAAUUGACGAUGAAUCUAAAAAACAAAAAGACAAGUCCGCCGGAAUUUUCAGCGGUAUAUUCAAAGGACCGAAACUCAAGAAAACCAAGUCGAAAGAUUCGAAAGACACCUCUUUCGACAGCGGGGACGAAGAAACGAAGAAUCUUACGACGAAACUCCUCGAAGAUUCCAGAAAAUCUACGGACCAGCAACCGCUGCAAACAGCCAGUAAAAUUAUUAUUUCCAUAUCACCACCUACUAUCGAAGUCUCUGGACCAGAGUUCAACGUGAGGAACGCCACAGCCGAUUUUCUUGAAGAUUCCAGGCGAUCCGCUGCUCUUUUUCACUCUCAUCUGGACGAAACCGCUCAGAAGAAGAGUGAUCCGAUGGUGGAGACGACUAGCAAAUCAACUGAAGAGAUCAGAGGAACUUCCGCCACCGACACCGAUGACGAUGAUGAAAAAAAAUCAAAACCGGGCUUUUUCUCCAGCCUCUUCCGAAGCUCGAAGCCGAAACUCGAGGAGAGCAUCGACGCCGCAGCAGACGAUGCGAAAAAAGCCGCUGAAAUGGCUGAAGAAAAGAUGAAGAAAAGUGGGAAGGACGCUAAGGAUGUCACAGAAUCCAUGCAAAAGGUCGGAACGAAGAUUCCCAGUGGUGCAAAAACCGGCGAAAAGUCUGUGACCAAUGGCACGAAAGAGCCCUCGCACGGAGUGAAAGAAGCUAAAGAGGAUUCGAAGAAACUUAUCAGGGAUGGCGAAUCAACGAUUGGAGAACAAAUUCGUCUCAUCGACGAGGAUAUUGCAGUAACGAGUGAUGCCGUGAAGGACCUUGUCGAGGAACCCGUUAAGUCCGGUAAGAAGAUGGCAGGUGAUGCGAAACGCUCCGGCGACGAGAUUAAAUCAACGAUCCAAACGACCCUCAAGAACGUCAAAGAUAGUGUAGCGGAUGGUAAGAAGCCGGAGGUGGCUACGGACGGGUCGAAGGACUCCGAAGAUGAAGGCAAAAGCGGAGGCUUCUUUGGCAUUUUCAAAAGUCCUAAAGGUAAAAAACGUAGCCGAUCGAAGGACAAGGAUCCCUCGAAACACGAGUCGUUUGACAGCGGCGAUGAAGAGCUCCGAAUCGCGACUGGAACCUUCCUCGAGGACACGAGAAAAGCUGCGGAAAAAAUGCAAGUACCAGCGAUAUACGAAGUGGAACGAAGGAACGAAGGUGACGGGAAAAUGGACAAAUUUGUCACGACCCUGGAGGCCACCUCGGACACACCGCGGGACAAAGUCGACAGCUCUUUGUACGAUGUCGCUUUGGCGAAAGAACAACCCAGAGACCAAGAGAAACAUGGCGUUGAAAAGUUAGCCACGAAAGUGUAUUCUACGUCGAGCAAAAUAAUCGAAAAGCCUCAAGAUUCAAGAGCCGAUAAGGAAAAUGGCAUAUCGACUAAGUCUCCACCAGCAUUGAUUUCCGAAGUUGCUUCGAAAGAUAACUCGGACGAUUUAGAAGACUCGCAAGCGUCCGACGAUGGCAAACAACGGACCUUCUUCGGUAUGUUCAAAAGCCCCAAGCUAAAGAGCAGGAAGAAGAGUCGUUCGAGGGAACGCAGCACAUCGAAAGAAGCAUCGUUCGAAAGUGGCGAUGAGGAACAACAACGAGAAGUGAGGGACGCGACUACCAAGUUCCUAGAAGACACGAAACGCACCGCGGACACUUUGUACGAAUCGGCGAAGGAAGAGGCUUCCCCGAACGAGAAGACGAAGCCUGCGCCCUCGGAAGACGUUAAAGUUAAAACGGGUAGUCUGGACAAGCGUGGCGCGAGCCCGGCCAUUGACAGCACCACGGUUGAGGCAAAAGACGCCGGUACGGUGGGAGUAACUGCGGAUGAUAAGCCACAAGACACCACCGAUGUGAAAGAAAAAGGUGGACUUUUCGGAAUCUUUAAGAGCCCGAAAUCCACCCUCAAGAGAAGAAGCAAGUCACGAGAAAAAAGCUCAGCAACCGACGUUUCCUUUGACAGUGGUGACGAAGAGCUGAGAAUUGCAACGGGCAAGUUUUUGGAAGACACGAGAAAUGUAGCCGAUUCUUUAGCGAAGCCAUACGAAGGGUCUCUCCCACGGGAUCAAGACGCAAAAGCCGCCGACGGACUUGGGGAAAAGGAAUCCGUAGACAAAGCCGAAGACAAAUCUCACGACAAAGAAGGAGGCGGCUUUUUACAAGGGCUUCUCAAAGGCGCUAAGCACGUGGUCGAAGAGGUUUCGGAUGACGUUAAAGAAUUUUGGGAUGAUACGAAAAAAGAAGCUGCCGAGGAAGAAAAGCAAGCGCGUCAUGCCGUUGAUGAAACUGGAAAAUCAGUUGCGAGCACUGUUGACAAAACUGCUGCAAAAAUAGUCGAAGUUAAAGACAAGGUCAAAGAGACGGCGUCUGACGAAUUGCAGAAAACCGUCGAUCACGGAAAAGCAGCGGAAAAACAUGCUUCGGAGAGGUUGACGGGUGCGAAAGAUGCGGUGAUCGCCGGCGUCGAAGCAACCGGGCAAAAGGUUUCCGACGGAGCAGCCAAAGCCGCGAAAACCACGAGCGAUGCGGCUGGAAAAUUGAGCAAAGAUACCAAAAAGGCCAAAGAUGCUGUCGGCAAAGAGAUCGAAGAAGAUGCUAAAGCAGUGAAAGAGAAAUUAUCCGCAGGAGUCGAGACCGUAACUGAAAGCGCAGAUGCCGCGAAGGAGAAAGCGGUAAAAGAUGCCAAGAAAGCGAAAGCCAAAGCCGGUGGUUUCCUCUCUGGCAUAUUCAAAGGUUCUAAGCACGCCGCGGAUGAGGUUUCAGAGGACGUCAACGCGUUCGUUGAAGAAACUGCGGACGAGGCGGCCAAAGAAAAAACGAAAAUUAAACAAGCCACCGAUGACGCUGCAAAAUCUCUGAAAGAUGCUAAAAGUGAAAUUGUUGCGGAUGUCAAAGAUACGAAGGACAAACUCGCCGUAAAGGUGUCCGAUGAUCUUGAGAAAGUCAGUGACGAAGCAAAAGAAGCGAAGAAACGAGCAGAAAAAACGGCUUCUUCUACCGUAGAUUUAGUUAAAAGUGCCGUCAAAGUGACGGAAGAAAAAAUAGUCGAAUCUGGUACGAAAGCCGACAAAGCUGUAAAAGAUGGAGUAGAAAAGGUAAACGCUGACAUCCGGUCAAGCAAGGACGCUGCGAGUGAAGAAGUCAAAGCAAUGAAGGAAAAAAUCAUUGCUGAAGGAGAAGCUGGUCUUGAAGCUGUGGACGCUGCUAAAGAAAACGUCGUAAAAGAUGCCAAGAAGACUAAAGCAAAAGCUGGAGGAUUUUUCUCCGGCAUUUUCAAAAGUGGAAAACACGCUGCCGAUGACGUUGCUGAGGAUGUCAAGGAGCUCGUCGAUGAGGCGAGGGAAGAAGCGUCGAAGGGUGAAGAACAAGCACAUCAAAUCGCGGAAAAAAGUGCGGAAGCUGCUAAAGAUGCGAAAGACAAAGUGGCGGGAGACGUCGCUGCCGGUACAAAGAUAAUCGUGGAGAAAACCGAUGCAGCGGAAGAUAAAGUUGAGGCUACGAAAGAUGCAACGACCGAUGCAGCGAAAGCAGCUGGCGCCAAAGUCGUAGAAGCUGCCGACAAAACAGCGAAAACGGCAGCAGACGCGGCUGAAAAAUUGGCCAUGGACGCUGCUCGUACCAAGGAUGCAGUAAUUACUGAAAUAAAACAAGACGAAAAAGCCGCGAAAGACAAAAUUGUAACGAGUGCUGAAAACAUUGUGGACAGUGCAGAAGCAGCGAAAGAAAAACUGGGGAAAGACGCUAAAAAAGCCAAAGCCAAAGCUGGUGGUUUUUUGUCUGGCAUUUUCAAAGGCGCUAAACAUUCGGCAGACGAAGUUACUGAAGAUGUGAAAGAUUUCCUCGAGGAGACGAAGAAAGAGGCUGCGAGGGAAGAAGAAGAAGCGAGGCGUGCUUUGGCCGAUGCUGAAAGAGCAGCUAAAGAAAAAGCCCAAGCUGCUAAAGAUACAGUCGUGAAGGAUGCUUCGGUAUCCAUGCAACAAGUACUGGACAGUAGCAAAGUUGCAGAAGAGCAUGUCCAAGACAAUCUCAGUGCUGCCAAAGCUGGAAUAACCGAUGCAACGAAAGAAAUCGGAGAAAAAGCGUUAGAAACCACGACGCAUGCUGCAGAGGCGUUAACAACUGAAACACAAAAACUUGCUGAAAAAGCUGAUAAGGCCAAAGAUGCUGUUAGUGAAAAACUGAAAGCUGGCGUUGAGGACACUAGAAAGGAAGUUACAACCGCCGGUGAAGUGAUAAGUGACACUGCACACGCUGCUAAAGACACAGCAGAAAAGGAAGCUAAAAAAGCGAAGGCCAAGGGCGGUGGCUUCUUAUCCGGAAUAAUCAAAGGGGCGAAACACGCUGUCGAAGAGGUCUCUGAAGAGGUUAAAGAGUUUUGGGAUGAAACGAAACAAGAAGCUGCGGAUGAAGAAGAGCAUGCGCGUCAGACGGCAGAGGAGAUUGCAAAAUCUGCAAAGGAUGCUGGGACGAAAGCUGCCUCAAUAAUGGAAGAAACCAAGGAUUCGGCGAGAGACAAAGUUGCUGCUGGUGUACAAGACGCAAUUGACCAUACCAAGGAAGUGGAGAAGCAAGCGGAAGAAAAAGUAAAAGCAACUGGAGAAAAGAUUUCGGAAACUGCUGCCAAGGCUUCAAAAGAAGCAGCGGACGUUGAAGACAAAGUCGUUAAAAUUGCUGCAAAAACUAAAACGGCAAUAAGCAAAGAAAUCAAAGAGGAUGCAAACGCAGCGAAGGACAAAGUGGCUGCAGGAGCUAACGCUGCGGCCAGAACCGCGAAUGCGGCAAAAGAUAAAAUAACGAAGGAUGCUAAAGUUGCUAAGGACAAAGUCGCAGCUGGAGCUAAUGCAGCCGCCAAAACUGCAGAUGCCGCAAAAGAUAAAUUAGCGAAGGACGCUAAAGUUGCUAAAGACAAAGUCGCAGCCGGAGCUCGCGCUGCCGCCAAAACUGCAGACGCCGCAAAAGAUAAAAUAGCGAAAGAUGCUAAAGUCGCUAAAGACAAAGUCGGCGCUGUCGUCAGAACAGGAGAUGCUGCGAAAAAGACGCUUGCGAAGGAUGCCAAAGCAGCGAAGGACAAAGCCGCUGCAGGAGCUGAUGCAGUCGCCAAAACUGUAGAUUCUGCGAAGAGCAAAGUAACGAAGGACGCUAAAGUUGCUAAAGAUAAAGUCGCCGCUGGAGCUAAUGCUGCCGCCAGGACAGCGGACGACGCAAAAGAGAAAAUAGCCAAGGAUGCUAAAAAAGCUAAGGGAAAAGCUGGCGGUUUUCUGACAGGAAUAUUCAAAGGUACUAAACAUCUUUCCGAUGAAGUAUCCGAGGAUGUCAAGGAACUCGUUGACAACACUGCUAAAGCUGAGGAACAAGUUAAACAGGUAGCUCAAGAAACUAGCAAAGGUGUUACCGAGACCGCAGACAAAAUAGCAUCGGACAUUGGCACGACUGCCGAUGAAGCGUCAAAGGAAAUUUCCAGCGAAGCAAAAAAAGCAGUAGAUGGUGCUAAAGCAAUGGAAAAACAGAUCACUGACGCUCUAUCGAAUGGUUCUAACGUCGUGACGGAAUCAGUCGAUAAAGCAAGUGCCGAUCUCGUUAAAGGGAAAAACGAAAUGAGCGAAGCCAUUAAAAGCGAAGGAAAGUUGGCCGCAGAUAAAACCAUGGCUGCAGUGGGAACCGCUGUUGAUGCUGCUGACGCGGAAAUAGAAGACAAAAAAGAGAAAUCGAAAGGAUUUUUCUCUGGAAUGAUCAAGGGCACGAAACAAGCGGUCGACGAUGUGUCGGAGGAAGUUAAAGAAUUAUUGGACAAAACUAAGGAAGAGGCUGUCGAAGAAGAGGAGCGGAUUCGCAAAGCAGCCGAAAAAACUGUACAAGAUGUCGAAGACAAAGCAAUCUCCAAAUUACAGGCCGCCAGAGAUCAGACGGGCGAUAAAAUUUCUUCGGCUACACGUGAAAUUUCAGACGCGGCUGUUGCAACGGGAGAGAAAGUUUCAGAUGACGCAAGUAAAGCGGCAAAGGUAACAGCCGGUUCUACUGAGAAGCUGCACAAAGGUGUGGUCCAGAUGAAAGAUGAAGCUGAUAAGAAGCUUAGGGAUGGCGCGAAAUCCGUGAAAGAGGGAGCCGAUUCAGUAUCUCAGACAGUGGUUGAAACGGCAGUAGCCACGAAAAACAAGGUGGCAAAAGACGCCAAAAAGGCGAAGGGGAAAGCUGGAGGCUUCCUAUCAGGAAUAUUCAAAGGUGCUAAACAUUCGGCAGAAGAAGUUUCUACGGAUGCGAAAGAUUUUCUCGAGGAAACGAAACGCGAGGCAUCAGCCGAAAAAGAACGAGUACAGAGUACCGUAGACGGGGUUGUUAAAGCAGUGAAAGACACGAAAGAAGAAGCGGUCGCUGACGUUAAAAAAGUCGGUGAUAAACUGGCGGAUGAAACUUCAACUGGUGUGCGGAAAGUCGUCCAGGCAAGCGGUGCAGUAAAAGAUGAGCUAGAGAAAAAAGCCACGGACGCUGCCGACAAACUGGUCGACUAUACCGAUGCUACAAAAAAAGACGUUGAAAAAUCAAUCACUUCGGCGAAGGAUGCUUUGAUGGAUGCUGCCAAAACAACCGGAGACAACUUGUCCGAAAGUGCCUCCAAAGCGGCGAGUGCAACGACCGAAGCAGCUCAGAAACUGGGAGACACUGCUGUCGAAAGCACUCGUACACUGAGUGAAAAAGUCGGGACGGACAUCGAGACAAAAAAGGAUGCGGCGGCUAAAGAAGCUGAAGCUGUUGCCGAGUCGGUUGAGCACGCAAAAGACGCACUGGACAAAGAAGCGAAAAAAGCUAAGAGCAAAAGUGGAGGCUUUCUUUCUGGGAUAAUCAAAGGGGCGAAACACGCUGUCGAAGAGGUCUCUGAAGAGGUUAAAGAGUUUUGGGAUGAAACGAAACAGGAAGCUGCGGACGAAGAGGAACGCGCGCGUCAGACGGCAGAGGAGAUGGCAAAAUCCGCAAAGGAUGCUGGGACGAAAGCUGCCUCAAUAAUGGAAGAAACCAAGGAUUCGGCGAGAGACAAAGUUGCUGCUGGUGUAAAAGACGCGAUUGACCGUACCCAGGAAGCGGAGAAGCGUGCGGAAGAGAAAUUGAAAGAAGUCAAGGACUCGGUUGCCGAUGCAGCCGGAAAAACCGGGAAAAAGAUUUCGGAAAGCGCUGCAGCGGGCUCAACAGCCGCGUCCGAUGCUGCGAAAAAAGUGGUCGAAGGUGCCGCGAAAACUAAAGAAGUUGUGAGGGAAGAAAUCAAAGCCGAUGCGGAAGCGGUGAAGGGCAAAGUCGUCGCUGGAGCCGAUGCUGUCGCGAAAACUGCAGAUGCUGCAAAGCAAGAAGUAGCGAAAGAUGCCAAGCUGGCAAAGGAUAAAAUCGUCGCUAAAGUUGAUGCUGUCGCCGAAUCAGCGGAAGCUGCAAAGGAUAAACUAUCGAAGGAUGCUAAAGCCGCCAAAGACAAAGUCGCCGCUGGAGCCGACGCUGUCGUAAAAACUGCAGAUGCCGCGAAAGAAAAGGCGACCAAGGACGCUAAAAAGGCUAAAGGAAAAGCUGGUGGGUUCCUGUCAGGAAUAUUCAAAGGCGCGAAACAUGCGUCGGACGAAGUAUCCGAAGACGUUAAAGAACUUGUUGACGCCACUAAACAAGGGGUGGCUAAGGCUGAGGAAAAGGCGAAGGAUGUCGCCGAUGAAACUGCAAAAUCAGCCAAAGAUGUCAAAGAUAAGGUUAGUUCCGAAGUGAGUGCAACGAAGGACAAAUUUAGAGAGCAAGCUUCUGCCAAUCUGCAAAAAGUUUCCGACGGAGCCAAGGCAGUGGAAGAACACGUUGACGAUAAAGUUGCUUCUGUCAAAAGUGCCUUCGAAGAUUCGAAGAAAGCAACCGACGAAGCGAUCACGGGCGUAUCGAAUCAAGUGGCUGCAGCCACCAAAGAUGCAGUACAGAAAGUGAGCGAUGACAUGGACAGAGCCGUGGACAAGACUCAUGAAAAAAUUCAAACCGGUGUUGAUUCGGUGAAAGAGAAUACCGCUGCAGCAAGUAGUGCUGCCAUCGAAGCCGCUGAUCGGGCCAAGGACGCGGUAGGAAAAGAAGUGAAAAGGGCCAAAGAAAAAAGCGGUGGUUUCCUGUCAGGUAUCUUGGAAAGCGCGAAACACGCGGUUGACGAAGUUUCUGAAGAAGUUAAAGAGUUUUGGGAUGAAACGAAGCAAGAAGCAACCGAAGAGGAGGAACGAGCGCGUCGAGCUGCCGAGGACGCCGCAAAAACGGUUCAAGACGCUAAGAGCAAAGCUGCUUCGGAUUUACAAGCGUCGAAAGACACUUUGAAAGAGCAAGCUUCAGCGAGUGUGCAAAAAGUCGUUGAUGCUACAGCCGCGGCAGAAAAACAAGCCGAGCGAAAAUUGGUAUCGGCCAGAGACACUCUUUCCGAUGCGGCAAAAAUGUCUGGAGAAAAGAUCACCGAGGCGACGACGAAAGGAAAAAAAGCUGUGACCGAUGCUGUCGACCAAUUGAGCACGGACGCAUCGAAUGCCAAAGACGCGACUGGCAAAGCGAUAAAAGAUGGUACGAAAGACGUUAAAGACAAAGUUGUCGCUGGAGCUGAAGCAGUGGCCGAAACAGCUGACGCCACCAAAGAGAAAAUCACGAAAGAUGCGAAGAAAACAAAAGCGAAAGCCGGGGGAUUCUUGUCCGGAAUCUUCAAGGGCGCUAAGCAUGCAGCGGACGAAGCGGAAGAAGACGCGAAUAAGUUAGCCGACGAAAUGAAGCAACGAGGCGCUAGCGAACACGAGAAAGCCCAAGAAGCUGCCGAUGAUUUGACGAAAUCUGUCAAAGACGCGAAAGCCAAAGUGGCGCUCGAUGUUGAAACCACAAAAGAUAAGUUGACAGAAGGCGUUUCAGCAAAAGUUCAAGAAAUCAAAGACCUCGAGGACUCCACGAAACAACAGAUUGAAAAAACUACUCUUUCUGCCGCGGACGCUGUGGCCGACGCAGCCAAAGGAGCCGGUGAAAAAAUUACUCGAGUCAAGGAAAAAAUAACCGCAGCGAGUAGCGACGCCGCAGAGACAAUUAUCGACGACGUCGGAAAGGCUAAGCAAGCUGUCAGCGAGGAAACUAAGAAAGCUAAGGCCAAAGGAGGUUCGUUUUUAUCCGGAAUCUUCAAAGGAGCGAAGAGUUCUGCAGAAGACGUGUCCACCGAUGUCAAAGAUUUCCUCGAAGAAGCUAAGAGAGAAGCUUCGUUGGAAAAAGAACAAGCGCAACUGGGAGCGCAAGAGGCUGCGAAAGCAGUGAGAGAUUCCGCGGCUAAAGCAGUUUCCGAUGUUCAAGGCACUGCACAAAAAGUACUGGAUGAUGCGUCCGAUCGAGCGAAAACGGUGGUUGCUCAAGCCAAAGUAGCCGAAGAGCGACUCGAGCAUGGAUUCACUGCAGGAAAAGACGUUUUGUCAGGCGCCGUUGAAAAAACUGGUGAAAAACUACACGACGCUGCAGCCAAAAUAGAUAAACAAGCAGCCGAUGCCUCACUAGCGUUGCGCGAAGGAGCGGCGGAAGCUGCAGACUCUGCCGGCAGAGCAAUGGAGGAAGAAUCAAAAGCUGCCAAAGCGAAAAUCAGCUCCGAAGUUGAAGCUGUUGAGAAGAGUGUCGACGCCGCUAAAGAGAAGCUAGAAAAGGACGCCAAAAAGGCGAAGGGAAAAGCCGGCGGCUUUCUAUCUGGAAUCUUCAAAGGUGCAAAACACUCGGCCGACGAAGUGGUCGAAGACGCGAAAAAUCUAGUGGACGAAACGAAAAGUGGGAUCGCCAAACAGAAAGAUGGCGCGAAAGGUGGUAUUCAGGAUGCUGUGAAAGCGGUGGAAGACGCGAAGGACCGUGGAGUACAAAAAGUUGCCGAUCGAACUGAAGCAACAAAACAGGAAAUGAAAACAACGCUCGCAACCGCUAAAGACGAUAUUUCGGAUGCAAUGAAAGCGAGCGGAGAAAAACUUUCCGGAGCAGCCGACUCAGUAGCGAAAACAGCGACCGAUGCGGCCAAAAAACUAGGUGACGAUGUUGCCGAAGCUAAAGAUUCCGUGUGCGUUGAAAUCCAAAAAGACAGUAAAGCAGCCGGUGACGCAUUGGCCGGAAAAGCAAGCGAUGCCGCUGAUACCGUUGCCAAAACAAAGGAUGCUUUGGAACAAGACGCGAAAAAGGCUAAAGCCAAAACGGGAGGCUUCUUAUCCGGCAUUAUCAAAGGUGCGAAGCAUGCGGUUGAAGAAGUGUCCGAAGAGGUCAAAGAAUUUUGGGACGAGACCAAACAAGAAGCUGUGCAAGAGGAAGAACAUGCACGCCGAGCAGCUCAGGAAGCUGCGAACGACGCGAAACAUGCUGGAGACGAAGCGAUCUCGAAAAUUCACGAAGCCAAGGACAGGCUAGUAGACGAAACGAAAUCAGGAGCGCAGGAAGUCGUCGACGGUGCGAAGAGCACCGGAAAACAGCUCGAGCAUAAAGCGACCACUGUUAGGGACGAAAUAACGGACGCAGCAAAUAGAGCCGCUGAGAAAAUCUCGGGAGCUACAACCGAGGUGAUAAAAGCCUCGAGCGAGAAAGUGGGAAAAUUGGAAACUGAAGCUGCGAAGGUUAAAGACGAGGUCAGUAAGGAGUCGAAGAAGGUCGCUGAAGCGGCAAAGGCCAAAGUCGUCGCAAGUGCGGACGCGAUUACGGAAGGUGCGCAUAAAUUGGGUGACGAUGCGGAUCGAACUAAAGCUGCAGUUGGCGACAAAGCCGAGGGAGUUCUCAAAGCUGCCAAGGACAGCACCGAUGCGGCGAUCAAAACAGCCGAAAAGGAAGCAAAAGCGGCCAAAGCGAAAACCGGGGGCUUCUUUUCCGGUAUAAUCAAGGGCGCUAAACACGCGGUUGAAGAUGUGUCCGAAGAAGUUAAAGAAUUCUGGGACGAAACUAAGGAAGGAGCUGCCAAGGAGGAGGACGAGGCGCGACGUGCGACAGACGAAGCUGCCAAGAAAAUCAAAGAUGCGAAAGACAAAACUGUUUCGGGUUUACAGUCGAAAGCUGGGGACAUUGCGGAUGGAGUUUCCGCAGUCUCGCACAAAGCUAUCGACGAUACAGGAGAAACGGCGAAAAACAUUCAAGACAAAGUGUCAUCUGGUGCACUCGCAGCUCAGGAUUCGAUUAAAAAAACUGGUGAAAAAAUCGAAGAUGCGACGAAGAAUGCGCUCGAGACGACAUCGGGGAUGGCUACGCGAGUUGAAGACAAUCUUUCCAAAGCCAGAGACGCCGCAGCGUCAGAAGUUCAGAAAGACGUUAAAAUGGCCGAGGAAUCCGUGAGCGCUGGUACCACCGCGGUCAUCGAUGCCGCGGGUCGCGCCAAGGACAAAGCAGCGAAAGAGGCCAAGAAAACGAAAUCGAAGGGCAGCGGUUUCCUCUCCGGCAUCUUCAAAGGUGCGAAGCACUCUGCGGACGAAGCUUCCGAGGAUUUCAAAGAAAUGCUCGAUCAGGCAGAACAAAAGGCAUCGACGGAAGCCAGCAAAGUGCAGCACGCGCUCGGCGACGCCGCUGAAUCAGCGAAGCGCUCGAAGGACAAAGCGGCCUCGGACAUCCGUGCGAGCGAGGAUCAAUUGAGAGAACAAGUUUCAGACAUCGUUCGUGAAGCAACGGACUACUCACUCGCUGCGGAAAAGAAAGCGAAAGAAAAGUUGGCCGCGGCCAAAGAUUCUUUCGUCGAUGCAGUGAAAACCACGGAGUCAGAGGUCGCAGAGGGGGCAAGAGUCGCGGCCGCGUCAGCAGCAGAUGCUGGAGACAAAUUACGCAAAGAUGCUGUCAGAGCGAAGGAUUCUGUUGCAAAAGAAGUGAAAGAAGACACGAAGGCAUCAAAGGAAAAAGUUGAAGCGGAAGCGCAUGCGGCGAAAGCCAAAAGUGGAGGCUUCUUAUCCAGCAUUAUAAAAGGCGCUAAACACGCGGUCGACGAAGUCACCGAUGACGUCAAAGAAUUUUGGGACGAGACGAAAGAGGAAGCGAAACAAGAAGAGGAGCGUGCGAAGCACGCUCUGGAGCACUCCGUUUUGGAGUCUGCCAAACCUGCGGAUGGGAAGGAUAAACCAGAAGCCUCUUCGGACGGUCACAGCAAGCCGACGAAGAAAACGGUCCAAUUGUCCGAUGAUCUCUCGAUCAUAGAGCCCGCUCCUGAUACAAAAACGGCGACGCAAUUGUUUUUAGACGAUUCACGGCACGCGGCUUCGCGAGCUCAGGAAAAAUCGUUGAGCGACGAGUUCAGUGAAUCUUCGACAUCGGAGCCGAGCUCUCCUCGUGACUCCUUGGAACGCGAUGUCACCCUGGGGAAAUCAAAGUCCCCCAAAUCCAAGAAAUCAAAGGGUGGUGUCAUAUCCAGUAUAGUGAAAGGCGCUAAAGGAGCGAGCCACAAAAUAGCUAAAGAAAUCGAUCACGCGACCGACAAUAUAAAAGGCUCGACAGCGAAAUUCUGGGAGGACACGAAAAAAGAAUCGAAAGAGACAUUUGGUAGUUCCGGUAGUUACGAAGUUUCUUCGCCCCUCAGAGAUACUCAAGUUAUCAGAGAAGUCGAUAUCUCUGACCCUAAAUCAGACGCCAGGCUCGAAUCUUUCGGUCCUCUUGACAGGGUAACCGUUAGCGAAAUUACGCAAUCGGGUAAUGAAGUCAAAACGAUAAGUGUUUCUCGCAUUCCGCAAAAAAUCAGUCCGGCCAGGGAAAUAAAGGAAAGCACCGAGAUAAAAGAUAGUAACAAUUCGGAUAGGUUUGUAGCUGGAAUUUCGAGCAAGUUAGAGCACCUCGAGCCUCGCUCGCGUCAUACCGUCACCACAGUCAUAACUAAGUCUGUGCGGACGGCAUCGACCCCACCACCCAGCCCCGCCGAGUUCAGUGACAGUAGCAUUAAAGAUGUUACCGAGGAAGCUGUCAAAAGGGCGCAAAGUCUCGCGGACCAGGCUCGUGCUGUUGAAAAAUCAGGGCAUGAAUCGGCUGAGAUUGAUGGGACUGUAGAGAGGCAUGUUACUUCCGCUCCAACAAAGCAACCCGUUCCCGCCCCACGUCUAUCCGGCAAGACAUCUGCGAAAGCCGAUUUUCGUUUGGAUCUUCAAGAGAGCGCGGCGUCUCCACAUUCGAAAGACUCGAUCGUCAAGCAAUCCGAGAGUGCUAAUAACGCUAGAACUUCCAGUGUCCAAAUAAUCGAAACUCAAAGCAUUACCGAGCAGAUCAUCGGGAAGAGUAAAAUUCCUGUUAAAGUUAAAGAAAACAGUAAAGAAGCGAUGAAGGAUAGUGUAACGAACGAUCGUCACGCAGCGCUGGGUACGAGCAAUGAGCUCGAAGCGAAAUUGCCUGAAAUGGAAGACCGCACCACCAUCGUCGAGACAAAAUCGGUAUCAAAACUCCCGAUCGCAAAGUCGACGCUCGAAGGAGCCGGUAGCGUUGAAAAAUCGCUCGUCACGACGUAUUCGAUUAGCGAAGUUCCCGAUCACGGAUUCGCCAACCCGAGUAUCGACGGUACCACGAAAAUCAUAACAACUGUGACGAGCACUUCGAGCAAAGAAUUCGGUGACCAAGAGUUGGAACGCAUGGUCUCGACGACGCGGACCCUGUCCUCGGAGGGAAUCGAGCCGGAAGCUCUGAAAGAACUUAUGGGCGAUGGAACGAUGACGAUUAAACGGACGACAACAAUAACGACCGGGAGCUCGUUGCCGCCGGAGCUCGAAGAAUUGUCCCAUGGAGCAGGAUCAACGAGAACAGUGACGAUAACGAACGCUGCGCGCCCGAUGAGCGAGCUGGACUUUCAAACGACCGGAGGUUCCCUCACAGGAACGAUUGUCAAGGAAACUAAAUCGAUGAAAGAUGGUGGUGGAUGGACGACCGAAACGAUCGUUACGAAACGAUCGUCAGACGGUAAGAAUAUGCCCUGGGAAAACGUCCGAAGAUCCAGGGAAGAACAGGAACAAUGGGAAGCUCAAUUCUCGUUGGACACCUCGCCUGGUUCCGGUAACGGUGAUAUGUUUACGAAAAAUGGCGAUUCGAGGCACGAAAUGAACAGCGACACAGAUAGCGAAGGUUCGCCCAGGCAAAGACGAAGAUCCCUGAGUAAACGUCGUACUCUCGGAAGUUCUAGCGGCUCGGAUGUCGCCCUACACGAAGGCGCUGAACUCUCUCCGAUGGAGGACGACCAAGCAGCGCCCGGCUCGGUACAAAUGGCCCAAUCGAAACGAGAAAGAAGUCCUCUAGGGAUCGUGUCUAGGACGAAGCCUAAUGGUAGAGCAAGCUGUGUUUGUUGGAUGAGUACAGCAGCUGCGGUGUUAGUGGUCCUGCUAGCACUUAUUCUUGUCCUGGAGCCACGUACAAUCGAACGUGCCAUUCACACCCUGUCCAGUCAUGCCCCGAGGCAAGCUGGAAUCUGACUUUAUGCAACACAGCGAGCCCUCGUAUAUGGAAACGACGGUGACCGAGAUCGACCCUGAAACAAACGAAAGAGUAACGAGAACGACGCGAAUCGUCACGACUUCCGGUCCAGUGGCUGGCGGAGCAACCGGAGGCUCGGAC
rnacentral:misc_RNA from 1 species